UACGGAGGGUGUAAACGUUGCUCGGAAUUAUUGGGCGUAAAGCGCACGUAGGCGGUCUAGCAAGUCGGGUGUGAAAGCCCUCAGCUUAACUGAGGAAGUGCAUUCGAAACUACUAGGCUUGAGUACUGAAGAGGACGACGGAAUUCCCGGUGUAGAGGUGAAAUUCGUAGAUAUCGGGAGGAACACCAGUGGCGAAGGCGACUUACUGGACGAUUGUUGACGCUGAGGUGCGAAAGCGUGGGGAGCAAACAGG
rnacentral:rRNA from 1 species